GAUUAACGCUAGCGGCAGGCCUAAUACAUGCAAGUCGAACGGGAUUUCGGGUAGCAAUAUCUGAAUGAGGGUGGCGCACGGGUGCGUAACACGUAUGCAAUCUGCCUCUGACUGGGGAAUAGCCUUCCGAAAGGAAGAUUAACACCGCAUAAAAUAAUGAAGUGGCAUCACUUUAUUAUCAAAACUCCGGUGGUCAGAGAUGAGCAUGCGUCCGAUUAGCUAGUUGGUGAGGUAACGGCUCACCAAGGCGACGAUCGGUAGGGGGUCUGAGAGGAUGAUCCCCCACACUGGUACUGAGACACGGACCAGACUCCUACGGGAGGCAGCAGUAAGGAAUAUUGGACAAUGGUCGCAAGACUGAUCCAGCCAUGCCGCGUGAAGGAUGAAUGCCCUAUGGGUUGUAAACUUCUUUUAAACGGGAAAAAACCCCUCUACGUGUAGAGGGCUGAUGGUACCGUAAGGAUAAGGAUCGGCUAACUUCGUGCCAGCAGCCGCCGUAACAC
rnacentral:rRNA from 1 species